UGUAGCUACGCCACUGCUACUACUAAAUCUUUAAUAUAUACCCUCAGUUACAUUUACUUAGAUGUUCUACUUCGUGUUUUCACCAACGUUUGGUACCAGGCGACUAUAACGCGCAUCAUUGUGUACAAUGAAUGACGAAUAAAGCUAAUUGGCAACGUCGCAGCUGCUCCCGCUCGCUUCAUUACGGCUGGAAUAAUCGUAGAACUCCGCCCCAAUUUCCUAGACGAAGCAGCAGUUUUAGCUAAGGAGCGCGACACCCUACGCCGUGGCGAUCUCUUUGAUCUCCGAAUAUAUGAUCUCAGUUUGGAGAUUCGGCAAAUGGUAAACUGGCAUAAGCGAAUAAAAUCGAUAGAUCACCUGAAGUCUCACGACCAAACCCGAACAGACAUGAUGACCAAGUUGAAACUCAAUUCAAUGACCAUGCCUCUUCGGACUCAAAGAAGUGUGCAAUAUAUUUUAGCCGACAACUCACACUGCACCCUUCGGUAAACAAAUUUAAGCAACGGCUGUGUAAAAUGCCAAAAUAGGCUAUGUUCGUAAAUGCAUCAUGACGCGCAUCAUGACGAUUCCAUAACAAACAGAACGUUCAGAAAUGCCAAUAUUGCAGCACUGCAAUAAUCAAGCGUUCAAAAAGACAACACUUCUAUCAGCUGUCACUCAUAAUUUCUUUCAAAAAAUUGUUUACUGCAUUUAACUACGAUGUCUGACGAAAAAAAAUCUCAGUAAUGCGGAGACACAGUUAUUGCUGAGAGUACGGUUGAAUAUGGAGGACGAGAAGGAAAAAAAUGUAUUAUGGAAGAAAGUUGUGACCGAAGUUAAAAAUGUAAAUCCACAUAUAAGACUUGACAGCACCACUGCGCAGAGAAAAUUCUUAAAUCUUUUGGUAACGUACAAGCGCAUUAAGAAAAGAAAUAAUUCUUCCGGUCGAGAAGCUACAUACUGGAGGUAUGGUACAAGGCACUCAAUUACUCCACCAAUAGCAAAUUUGCAAGCCUCUUUGGAUUUGGUACUGUCAACAUCGCCCACACGACUUUAUUGUUUUAAUAAAUGAUUUCUUCAA